UACGGGGGGGGCAAGCGUUGUUCGGAAUUACUGGGCGUAAAGGGCUCGUAGGCGGCCAACUAAGUCAGACGUGAAAUCCCCAGGCUCAACCUGGGAACUGCGUCUGAUACUGGAUGGCUUGAAUCCGGGAGAGGGAUGCAGAAUUCCAGGUGUAGCGGUGAAAUGCGUAGAUAUCUGGAGGAAUACCGGUGGCGAAGGCGGCAUCCUGGACCGGCAUUGACGCUGAGGAGCGAAGGCCAGGGGAGCAAACGGG
rnacentral:rRNA from 1 species